GAUGAAGAACGCAGCGAAAUGCGAUAAGUAGUGUGAAUUGCAGAAUUCAGUGAAUCAUCGAAUCUUUGAACGCACAUUGCGCCCCUUGGUAUUCCAUGGGGCAUGCUUGUUCGAGCGUCAUUUGUACCUUCAAGCUUUGCUUGGUGUUGGGUGUUUGUCCAUUCUCUUGCAGAGGGACUCGCCUUAAAGUAAUUGGCAGCCAGUGUUUUGGUUUUGAAGCGCAGCACAAGUCGCGAUUCAAAGCUAUACGCCCGCUUCCACAAGCCUUUUUCACUUUUGACCUCGGAUCAGGUAGGGAUACCCGCUGAACUUAAGCAUAUCAAUAAGCGGAGGA
rnacentral:misc_RNA from 1 species